GGGCAAUAAGGAUUUAUCCGUUAGAUUCUCGAGACUUAAUCAAAAUCGAAAGCUAUGCAAAUGUUAAAAUCACAAUUCCUUUCCUCAAAUUGAAGCGAUCGCCAAUUGAUCGAUGUUCUUCCAUGGCUUAGUCCGCCGGAGACUCGCCUCUCUCUUGCAGCCAUGGCUGCUAGAGGAACCGGAGCUUCAAAUGGAUUUAGGGUUUAUCAACUCUAGAGUAACAGCUAAGAGCCUCAGGUUCGAUAUCUCUUCUCUCAAUCGGCUCUUCGACGAGUCCUCUCGUUUCUCUUUUAAAGAGGUUAGUGUGGAAGAAUUCAGUGUUCGCUUCUCUAACUGGUCUGUACCUGCCUUCGAAAUCGAAGUUCGCCGCGUCAAUGUCACUCUUUUCGCGGGGGAAGAGAAGGAGGAGGGGAGCUCAAUAAGGGGGAGGAAAUUGAGUGAGAAGGUUAAUGAGGAAAAGAGGAAGGCUGUUGCUGGGAUUGAUCCGGAGGGUAGCGCCUUGCACGAAGUGCUGGAGAGGGUCUUGGUCUCAACUCCCUCAAGAAAUAGAUUUACAGCUUCGUUGUUUAAUCUUCUUCUCAAACAUGUCCAUUUGCAGAUCUUCAAUUUCAAUCUUCAAGUGCAGGUUCCCAUCUUAAAUGAUGCCCUUAUAUGCUUGGUCGAAGUAAAGGAGUUUAAUGGUGAAUCUCAGUAUUUUGAGCAUGCAUGUCUUCUUCGAGGGUUUGUUGGUGCAGUCUUUAAUCCUCUAAAAGAGAUUUCCAUUGUUAUAGAUUUUAGAGGUUUUGGAGUUGGAUAUGAGAUGAAAGAUAAUAAAAACUCAGUUUUUUCUUCCACAGAAAUGUUUUCGUGCAUUAAACUGAAUGAUCUUCAGCUGGCAGACUUCAGUAUUCGUGUUCCAGAAUUAAGUCUUUCACUUUCUCCACUUGAUCUCCUUGUUUUGUCAGUACUUGGUAAUCUACCAUCAAAAGAAUCGAAACGUGUCAGAAAUGGUAGACAACUAUGGAGACUAGCUGCAAACAGAUUAGGAUAUGUGAUUUCAUCUCCCAGGUUGUCAUUCCAUAAUUUAGUUGAAUUUGUUUGUCUGUGGUUACGCUAUCUCAAUGCUUAUGAGCAUUUACUAUCCCUCCUUGGAGAUUGUGCAGACAACUUAUUAAAAAAGCCUGCUAUUAAGAUGUCCCGAGACAAUCUCAGUUCUUUCAAUCACGAUUGGGAUGUGAUUUCUUGUAUUGAAAAACAGUUGCCAGUUGAAGCUAUUGCCCAGGCACGGCGAAUAGCCAGAUACAGAGCAAAUUUGAAUGUUCAACAUGGUGAAUAUGGCUAUAAAGAAUACUCAGCCUAUAGUUGGUUCAAAUUUUUCUCUAAAAUUGUACCAGUACUAAUAUUCACUUGGAAUGUUCUAUAUAGAGUUUUCCUCUCAAUUGUACAUGGUUUCUUUUCAAUCAAGUUUUCUUUUCAAGAACAAAAAUUUGACGGACAUUUGGGAAACAAUUCUGAAGAUCACUUUCCGCAAUAUUGCUUCCUGCUAAACUUUGGAAAAAUUUUAAUCAGUUUCUCCCCAACUAACACAGUUCAGAAAGUUAAUGAAAAAAUGGAAUCACAUAUUGGGAUCUCGCAUUCUGAUGUCCACUUAUUCUGCCUAUCAAUUGAUGCAUUUUUAUUAGUGUAUGUUGAUGAAAUUUUUGAACAGUCCUUGUCAAUUUCCUGUGGGCAGUUAAAGGUCAAGUCGUCUUCGGUUAUUGGGGCUACAAUCACGGAAAGCCGUUCAAAGCAUCAUUUUAGUUCUGUGAAAAGAAAUCGAAAAAGGAGGGCUGACAAUUUAAAAACUGUUCUAUGGAGUGAGCCCGCACAAAAAUUUUUCCCUUCACAAUCUGGUGAAACCAAUGAUGCAGGUCAAGCUGAAAGUGCUUACAGCCCACUUCUGCAAAAUUUUCUUGGAGAAAUGUGGUUGACUUGGAAGAGAUCUUGCACAAAAUAUGAUGAUAAUGAGAUUCAGUAUUCUGAAAACCCAUGGCUUCUUUGUGAGAUAAAAAAUUGUUUGAUAUAUCCAGGCAUGAAGAGUUCAGAUUCUAUGUUUUGGAAAUGCAGCUUGACAGUAGGAAAAUUAAAUUUGGCUAUGGGAUAUUUUUCAAUUAUAUCAAUGGCUAUCCUGCUUGGGCAGAUAAAGCAUGCUCUAAAAUGGACUGAGGACAAUGGAAUGGCAAGUGUUCUUUCAUGUCCAACACCAACCUGUGAAGAGCAACAAGAAAUUAGUUGGGAAGGUAAAUAUGAGGUUUUUAUCAAUAGAAUGAAGAUGAAUUUACAUAGAUUGCUUCAAGAUAAAUGUCUUCAACUGGGAGUAUUCAUAACUGGUCCUCACAUCCAGAUGUCAAUAAGAAAGAUUGGAUCAAACAGUAGAGAUGAAGAUAUGAAUCAUGCAAUCGGUCAGGAUGACUUUCGCGUUGGAUUUGAUAUCCAAAAUAUUGAGGCUGUUGUGUGGCCAACUUCAAAAUCUGAUUUAGUGUUAACUCAGUUGCCAGAAAUUGAUGAUAUGGAAACAGAGCACCAUAGGUUGCUAGAGCCUCAGAUAACUGAGAUUCCCAAAUCAGAUAAUGAAAAGUAUUCUUCUCAGACGUGUGUUUCAUUGAGGUCUUAUCUGAGAGUUAGUGGCUUGAACAUUUUCAUGGGAGAUUUCACAGAAAUACAACAGAGCCAAGUUCUUGCAUUGAAGCCAAUAGCUGUUGAGUUAUCAUUUUUCAGGGAGUGUGUUCAUUCAUUUAGCACCACCACAAUUUCUUUCUCUACAGCAGUGUGUGGGAGAGCUACAGGAAUCACAUUUAUAUCAUAUAUGGAUGAAUUGCAAGGUUUCUUUCAGGUUGUUGCAGAUUUAUUUUUAGCAGUUUCUUAUGUUUUUGAUGGCCUUCACAUAACUGGUUAUGUACCUCUUCAAGAUUUUAUGAGGCAAAACAAGGCAUUUUCAGAUCCUGAUAAUGAUGAGACUACUGCAGAAGGAGCACCUUUGAUUUAUAAUAGUACUUUAUUUUCAAUUAAUGGUACCUUUAUUUUCAAGUCAAUGGAAGUGGUUCUUCAGAAUUCCAGAAUACUUGAUAAAGGGGAGAGUUCAACAAAAGUAUAUGAUGCUUCAAGUCAUCGAAAGUUGUCUGGAUUUGAUUUGCAUGAAUGUGGAAUUUGGAUUUCUGUCCAUCAUGGCAGUGCAGACAUGUCUUUUGGAGAAAGGAAAAUGGAAAUUCUUUUGGAUUUGUUAGGAAUUCAGUCUAUAAUUUUUAGGUAUCAGGAUCACAUGGGAAAAAGUUUUGAUCACUUUGUAGUUAGAAACUUGCAGCGGCAAUCUCAUAAUUGGUUAUAUGAAUCAUCCCUUUCUAAUUUAAAAUUUUCUUUAGGGUUGGGUUGUCCUCGUGAUAGGAUGAGUAGUUCAUCUGGUAAUUCUCCUUUGGGUGGUAAUGCAUCAUACAGUGUGGAGAACUCCCAUUUGGUAACUGAUUCUGAAACUUUGAAUUCUCAGUCAUCUACAUUUGAGAAUUUGGGUUUUUCUUCAUUUAUCUCAGCUCCAAUGUCAAGUCACUGGUUUCUCAUAAAUGUUACACUGAGUGGAAUAUUUGUCACAAGGCACUCAAUAAAGAAUGCUGUGGUUGGAGCUCAUCAAAUCAAUAAGCUUACAUCAUUGCUUUCAGUUGGCAAAGAUCUUCAGACAAUCUCUUGGAGAAUACAGGGUGGUCCUCUGGUCCUUGAAACCACAGCUGUGAUGAUGUUUGUUCGUUGCUUUGUUUCGUAUCUUGAUUGCUUUGCAAAACUUUUAUCUAUUAUAAAAACAACUGUUAAACAAGUCGAAAAUUCUGAACAUGAGGCCCAAGAGAUACCACGUGCAACUCUACAACCUGUCUGGGAACUGCCUGAGGCCUCCUCCAUUGAUGUGUCUCAGUUUUCUCUUAUUUUCAUUAUUGAAGAUGAUUCUGGUGAUCUUCAGGAACUUGUGAGUGAGUUUGAUGUCCAUGUGGAACUCGAAUCGGCAAAUAUGCAAAGGAAGUUCAUGUUUAAGCUUUCUCGCAUGUCAAUCUUCUCUCAGGUCCUUAAAGAAUGUCCAGAAAAUGAAAAUGAAAAUGAAAAUCAAAUUCCUCAUUUUUCUUCUGCCAUGUUAAAUAAAUCAUCAUCUCAUUCUCCAACUAGGGAUCCUGCUGUUAAGUUUCAGCAUAUGGAUGGAAGUCACAUAAUUCAUCAGAACUAUAUCUUAAAUCAUUUAGUUGCUUUCGUAUCAGCUGAGAAGUCAAAGAAUGGUCCUCUGCCAUUAAAUCAGAUUUGGGUAGGCAAUGGUUCUGUUUCAGAUAUUCAUGUGAAUAUAUCUCUUUCUGAAAUACAGAUGCUUUCAUCCAUGGUUUCUUCCUUGUCUGGUGGUUAUAACGAAGAGACAACCAAUGAUCUGAAAAGAAGGAGCUGGUCCAGUGGGCAAGAGGCUGAUAACAGUUUGGAAGACAUGGUUCCUAAUGGAGCAAUUGUUGCAAUUCAAGAUGUGCAUCAACACAUGUACUUUGCAGUUGAAGGAGAGGAAAGCAAGUAUAAUUUGGUUGGCAUAAUUCAUUAUUCUAUUCUUGGAGAAAAGGCUCUUUUUAGGGUCAAGCACCACAAACAAAAGAUAUGGAAUUCAUCAAUAUUAUGGUUUUCCUUCAUAUCUUUGCAUGCUAAGAGUGAUUCUGGUGAACCUUUGAGAUUGAAUUAUCAUCCUGGAUCAGGUUUUGUUAGUAUCUCCAGCACGAAUGAUAGUGGAUGGUCUCUCUGGAAAACAAUUUCUUGUGAGCCCAAAAGCUACAAGGGUGAUGUUGGCUGGGAGCUAUAUAAUACUUUGGUUAAAAAAAAGUUUUAUUUGAUCAAUAAGAAGAAUGACUGUGGUGUUGCUUUUGUUGAUGAGAUUCCGCAAUUUGUUAGGAAGCCUGGAAAUCCUUUCAAGUUUAAAGUAUUCCAUUACCAUGCUUUGGGUCACAAUAUUGCAACUUCAGAUAGGCUUUAUUUGGAGGCUUCUGGAACAAAUUUGAAUUCUAGGCCACAUGAGGGGGAAGACACAACUUCUUAUCUGAAUGAAAGACUCCCUUGUAUUCAGAUUAAGAUUGACAACACUGAUCUGACCAUUGUUCAUGAGCUAACCGAUACAAAGGACAAGUUUCCUCUCCUUCGUGGUUGCAUCAAUAAUGUCCAAAUCAAUGUUCAAAUUCUCUCUAAUAAAACAAGAAUUAUGAGCACAUCAUGCGCUUUGUUUUGUGUUUUUGAUGCACAAAAAAAUUCAUGGAGAGAACUUGUUCACCCUGUUGAAAUAUCUAUAUUCUAUAGAUCAAAUUUCCAACUUCAAAGUUUGGAAACUAUUCAGCGUGGAGUGCCAGUUCAUUUCUAUUGCAGAACUAAGGGGGUCAGAAUAAGCAUGCAUAAGAUAAUAAAUUCUUACCGUGUUUUUGUUUGAUCACUUGCAAAUAUUUUUUUUGUUUUGGCUUAUUGGCAGUUGGAUAUAUCUCUAACCGAGCUUUCAUUAGAUAUACUACUCUUUGUGAUUGGGGAAUUAAAGUUGGCUGGUCCCUUUUCGGUGAGAAACUCUAUAAUUUUGGCCAAUUGCUGCAAGGUAGAAAACCAGUCAGGUUUAAAUCUUCUUUGCCACUUCUAUGAUAACAGAAGUGUUACAAUAGCCAGAAAACAGUCUGCUUCUGUAUUUUUAAGGCAGCCAGUGUUGACAAGUGAACCUCCAGAAAGUACGUUUGUUACAAUUCAACUUUCUAAUCUUGGAUCUUUUGCAACUACUUCACUUCAUCUUUCUCUUUCAAGAAAUCAAACACUUGCUUGGAGAACACGUAUACUGUCACUCUCAGAUUCAAGAGCUUAUCCUGGGCCAUUUGUUGUGGUAGACAUUUCAACAAAAUCUAAGGAUGGUUCAUCCGUUGUAGUUUCUCCUUUAACCAGAAUACAUAAUGGAACUGAAUUCCCCAUGGAGCUACGAUUUCGACGGCCUCAACAAAAUGAAAAUGUGUUUGCUUAUGUGUUGCUGAAGCAGGGGGAUUCAAUUGAUGAUUCCAUGGCAACAUUUGAUGCUGUAAAUUUGUCUGGUGGAUUAAAGAAGGCAUUAAUGUCUUUAAGCAUCGGUAACUUCUUAUUUUCUUUCAGACCUGAAAUUGUCGACGGCUUGUUAAAUUCCAAGAGAGCUCUGUCAGUUGAAUGGUCAGAUGAGCUAAAAGGUGGAAAGGCUGUUUGUCUCUCUGGAAUUUUUGAUAGGUUGGGCUAUGAAGUCCGCCGGGCUUUGUCCAUUGAAUCAGCAAAAUGUUCCUUCAGCACUGCACAUUGUAGUGUUAGAUCUGAAGAUGCUCAUUUUACCAACCUGCAUUUUCUGAUUCAGAGUGUUGGAAGAGAUGUCCCUAUCAUACAUCCUGAUAAGUCUAGUGAUGAUUCUGAAAGUAGUUCAGCAGUAGCAUUACAAGAGCAAAAGGAAAUUUUUCUUCUUCCUACUGUUCGGGUGUCCAAUUUAUUGCACUCAGAGAUACAUGUGCUUUUAACUGAGACAGAUCUGCAUACUUCCACUGUUAGUGACAAUAUUGGGAAGCAAGCCACUAUAGCAUGUGGAUCAACAGUUGAUUUUUAUGCUAAUCCCACCAUAAUAUAUUUUACUGUUACCUUAACAGUUUUUAGAUCAAGCUGUAAACCAGUGAAUAGCAGUGAUUGGAUCAAGAAGUUAUUCAAGAACAAAAAUGAUGUCCGCUGUUUGGACAUUGAUCUCGAUUUUGGUGGUGGAAAGUAUUUUGCAUCACUAAGAUUGUCUCGUGGGUUUAGGGGCAUAUUAGAGGCUGCUAUUUUUACACCGUAUUCUAUGAGGAAUAACACUGAUUUUUCCCUAUUUUUCUUUGCUCCUAAUCAGAAGCCUCUGUAUAGGGAUGAGGUCAGAAAGUAUGGCUCCAGCAUUCCUCCUGAGUUAGGGUUAUUUUGCCCCCCAAAUUCAAUAAGGUCAUGGUUUUCAAAAUCCCACAAGAUGCGGCUUAAAUUGUUGGAGAAUCAUGCAUCUCAGGCUCUGUUAGACUUGGAUGCUUUAUCUGGCCUCACGGAGAUAAGCUCAGAGAUAGAGGAGGAAGGAUCUGGACUCAAAUAUAUUACAAAGUUUGGGGUUUCCAUGGGACCAUCUUCAAGUGCGGUGAUGGUCCCAUCACAGAUUGUAACUAUGACCCCACGGCAUGUUGUUUACAAUGAGUCAGAGGAAACUAUCACGAUCCGUCAAUGUUACUUGGAAGAUGAAAUGGCAGGCAUAAUCCACAUUAACAGUAAACGGAGAACAAUACUCAAGCUGCAGAAGGGAAUUAGCAGGAGCAGGGAAUUCAGUUUUUUUGAGAAUGUCAUCAGAAAGCAUAGAAAUGAUGUCGAUACUUCACUAGUAUACAUCCAGUUCCAACUAAAUGAGCCUGAAUCAGGAUGGUCAGGGCCAGUAUGCAUAGCUUCACUGGGAUGCUUUUUCCUGAAAUUCAGGAGACAAUCAAAUCAAGUUCAAGCGUUGAAUAACAAUGCACCAGAAUUUGCUGCUGUUCAUGUGAUAGAAGAAGGAUCUACUCUUGGAAUGCACUUCUACAAACCUCCAAAUGUUAAUCUACCGUAUCGAAUUGAGAAUCAUUUGCAUGAUACUUCUCUCACUUACUAUCAAAAGGUUGUCCUAUUAUUCCUUUUGUCUUGUCUAUCAGUUUUCAAUUUGGUGGUCAUUCAUUGAAAUUAUUUUGUGCCAUAAUACUCUCUCAAUUGUCAUUCAAGAAUAUUUCAGGACUCAUCAGAGCGAGAGGUUCUUGGAUCUGAUUCUAGUGCUUAUUAUGUCUGGGAUGAUAUGAUUCUUCCGCAUAAACUAGUUGUCAUAAUCAAUGAUAAGCCCGUAUUGCGUGAAAUUAACUUGGAUAAGGUGCGGGCUUGGAAACCUUUUCUCAAACAAAAACAAAACAGAGGGUUGGCAUCUGAUUCACUUUCCAACAAAAAAUUCAGAGACCAAAGAAAUUAUUUUGGUUGGUUUAACAGCAUGGAGACUGCAAAGGUAGGAUAUGAAGUAUAUGCAGAGGGUCCUACACGAGUUUUACGGAUACGAGAGUUCUCCAGCAGUCAAAAAGGAGACAGAUUGUUUCAGUCAUGUGCAAAGAUCCAGCUAAGAGUAUUUCAUUUCACAAUCCACUUACUUGAAGAUAGAAAGCAGGAUUUAGAUAAGAAUGACGAACCAUGUUAUGCAACAUUUAUAGUUGCAAGGCUUGGCAAUAUCAAUUUGGACUCUAUCUUUGUGGAUCAGCAGAAAUAUAAUCAGAUUAAUGUGCAGUCAUUAAAUGUUGAUAAGAAGUGGAUCAGUGCUCGUUAUGCAGCAAUGCUUCGGAGACAUCAAUUAGACUCCAGUGACUCAAAUGUUUCUGUAAUCAAAGUUGUCUUCAUCCUUCUUCCAACCAGUUCCAAUGUUAGACAAGUUAAAUAUUCAUCCAUUAUUCUACAGCCGAUUGAUUUGAACCUUGAUGAGGAGACUUUAAUAAAACUUGCCUCAUUUUGGCGAACAUCUCUGAGCAACUCAAGUGCUCCAAGUCAGCAGUAUUACUUUGACCAUUUUGAGGUCCAUCCAAUCAAGAUUAUUGCUAACUUUCUUCCCGGAGAUUCAUAUUUAAGAUAUGACUCAGCUCAGGAGACUUUAAGGUCAUUACUGCAUAGUGUGGUAAAGGUUCCCCCCAUAAAAAAUAUGGUUGUGGAGCUCAAUGGGGUCCUGGUUACUCAUGCUUUGAUAACUAUGCGUGAAUUAUGCAUCAGAUGUGCACGACAUUAUUCCUGGUAUGCAAUGAGGGCCAUCUAUAUUGCAAAAGGAAGUCCCUUGCUUCCACCAACUUUUGUUUCCAUAUUUGAUGAUCUGGCUUCAUCUUCUCUUGAUGUUUUCUUUGAUCCUUCCCGUGCAUUGAUAAAUCUUCCUGGUUUCACACUAGGUACCUUCAAAUUCAUCAGUAAAUCUAUAUAUGGUAAAGGGUUCUCUGGGACAAAGCGCUACUUUGGUGAUCUGGAAAAAACUCUGAAAACAGUGGGGUCUAAUGUGCUAUUUGCUGCUGUCACUGAAAUAUCAGACUAUGUCCUCAAGGGAGCAGAAACAAGUGGUUUUGAUGGAAUGGUAACUGGAUUUCACCAAGGAAUACUGAAAUUGGCUAUGGAGCCAUCACUGCUGGGGACUGCUCUGAUGGAAGGUGGCCCAGACAGGAAGAUCAAGCUUGAUAGAAGUCCUGGGGUUGAUGAGUUAUAUAUUGAAGGUUACCUGCAAGCUAUGUUGGAUACAAUGUAUAGGCAGGCGUAUCUGAGAGUCAGAGUGAUAGACGAUCAGGUGCUCCUCAAAAACCUACCCCCCAACAGUGCCCUCAUAGAUGAGAUCGUGGAUCAUGUGAAAGGGUUCCUUGUAAGCAAGGCAUUGUUAAAAGGAGAUCCUUCAGCAUCUUCUUACCCUCUGCGUCAUCUUCAACGAGAAAGUGAAUGGAAAAUAGGACCAACUCUGAUCACAUUGUGUGAACACCUCUUUGUGAGUUUUGCAAUUCGGAUGCUGAGAAAGCAAACUGGUAAGCUUAUGGCCAAUAUCAAGUGGAAGAAAGAAUCAGAGACUGAUGAUCAUAAAGCAAUAGUCCGUGCAGACACCACUGAAAGGGGGCACAGGCUGAAGUUCGUAUGGAAAUGGGGCAUCGGUAAGUUUGUAUUUUCAGGCAUCCUAGCAUAUAUUGAUGGACGGUUAUGUCGUGGUAUUCCUAAUCCCAUAGCACGACGAAUCGUUAGUGGUUAUUUGUUAAGUUUUCUUGAUAAAAGCAACACCGACUACAAAUAGUAUAAGGCUAUUGUUAGAUGGCAUUUUUAUUUCUUCUCCCUUUCCUGCAAUUCUUUCUUAUUUCCUGUUCAAUUUAGGAUUCACAUAUGAUAUCCAGGAACUGGUGGGCGUGGUCAUAUUAUGAUCGUAAUAAGCUCUAUCAUAAUACUUCGUACUUUUUGGUUAAACCUUUAUGUACAGGGGAUUUAUCCACCUACACUGCAGUCUAUCAUUUUAGUGACUUUAGAUUAUUGUUGAUUAUCCAAAUUCUAAAAACCUGCAAAAUGCUGAAAAGCCAGGUUGCUGUGCAAAAUUCAUUUCCCUGUUUUCAUAUUUUUGUGGCAAGACGCCAAAGGGAUGUUGUAACAAUCAGGUCAGCUGCAAACAGACGUUUCUACUGUAUCUUUUCAGAAUGCCCCUGGUUUAUUCCUAUUCACUGAAUCGUCCAUUGUUUAUGGGUUGGAACCUUGCUAUUUUGUCUCUUUCAAAUGCAACAGUUGAUAAAGGAUUCAUUAAAUGUAUUAAAUGAAACAUUCCCCUCAAAAAUUUCUUUUCUACCAGAAUACAAAUAUUUCUAUAAUAAAUAAAUAGUUCCUU
rnacentral:misc_RNA from 1 species